rnacentral:rRNA from 1 species
GAUGAACGCUGGCGGCGUGCCUAAUACAUGCAAGUCGAGCGAACAGACGAGGAGCUUGCUCCUCUGACGUUAGCGGCGGACGGGUGAGUAUCACGUGGAUAACCUACCUAUAAGACUGGGAUAACUUCGGGAAACCGGAGCUAAUACCGGAUAAUAUAUUGAACCGCAUGGUUCAAUAGUGAAAGACGGUUUUGCUGUCACUUAUAGAUGGAUCCGCGCCGCAUUAGCUAGUUGGUAAGGUAACGGCUUACCAAGGCGACGAUGCGUAGCCGACCUGAGAGGGUGAUCGGCCACACUGGAACUGAGACACGGUCCAGACUCCUACGGGAGGCAGCAGUAGGGAAUCUUCCGCAAUGGGCGAAAGCCUGACGGAGCAACGCCGCGUGAGUGAUGAAGGUCUUCGGAUCGUAAAACUCUGUUAUUAGGGAAGAACAAAUGUGUAAGUAACUAUGCACGUCUUGACGGUACCUAAUCAGAAAGCCACGGCUAACUACGUG